rnacentral:rRNA from 1 species
GGGGGGAAUGGCGUGCUACACAUGCAGUCGAACGAAAGUUAUACUUUAGUGGCGGACGGGUGAGUAAUACGUGAGCCCUUUCCUUUAGGAAGGGAAUAGCAAUUGGAAACGAUUGCAGACGCUCUAUAUGCUUAGCAGUGAAACAGAUUUAUCUGCCUGAAGAUGAGCUCGCGCCUGAUUAGCUAGUUGGUAGAGUAAAAGCCUACCAAGGCAACGAUCAGUAGCUGGUUUGAGAGGACGAUCAGCCACACUGGGACUGAGACACGGCCCAGACUUCUACGGAAGGCAGCAGUGGGGAAUUUUCCGCAAUGAGCGAAAGCUUGACGGAGCAAUACCGCGUGAGGGAAGAAUGCCUGUGGGUUGUAAACCUCUUUUUUUAGGGAAGAAAAUAUGACGGUACCUAAAGAAUAAGCAUCGGCUAACUCCGUGCCAGCAGCCGCGGUAAUACGGGGGAUGCACGCGUUAUCCGGAAUUACUGGGCGUAAAGCGUCUGCAGGUGGCUUAAAAAGUCUGCUGUUAAAUAUUAGAGCUCAACUCUGAGUAAGCAGUGGAAACUGUUAGGCUAGAGUAUGGUAUGGGUAAAGGGAACUCCCAGUGUAGCGGUGAAAUGCGUAGAUAUUGGGAAGAACACCAGUAGCGAAAGCGCUUUACUAGACCAUUACUGACACUCAGAGACGAAAGCUAGGGGAGCAAAUGGGGAUAGAUACCCCAGUAGUCCUAAGCCGUAACGAUGGAUACUAAAUGUUGCGUGUAUCCGACCCUGCAGUAUCGUACCUAACGCGUUAAGUAUCCCGCCCUGGGAAAUUUGCUCCCCAGAAUGAAAACCCAAAGGAAUUGACG